rnacentral:misc_RNA from 1 species
GAUGAAGAACGUAGCGAAAUGCGAUAAGUAAUGUGAAUCGCAGAAUUCAGUGAAUCAUCGAAUCUUUGAACGCACAUUGCGCCCCCUGGUAUUCCGGGGGGCAUGCCUGUUCGAGCGUCAUUUCACCACUCAAGCCUCGCUUGGUAUUGGGCAACGCGGUCCGCCGCGUGCCUCAAAUCGACCGGCUGGGUCUUCUGUCCCCUAAGCGUUGUGGAAACUAUUCGCUAAAGGGUGCUCGGGAGGCUACGCCGUAAAACAAACCCAUUUCUAAGGUUGACCUCGGAUCAGGUAGGGAUACCCGCUGAACUUAAGCAUAUCAAUAAGCGGAGGA